rnacentral:rRNA from 1 species
GACGAACGCUGGCGGCGUGCUUAACACAUGCAAGUCGAACGAAGAGCGAUGGAAGCUUGCCUCUAUCAAUCUUAGUGGCGAACGGGUGAGUAACGCGUAAUCAACCUGCCCUUCAGAGGGGGACAACAGUUGGAAACGACUGCUAAUACCGCAUACGAUCUAAUCUCGGCAUCGAGGAAAGAUGAAAGGUGGCCUCUAUUUAUAAGCUAUCACUGAAGGAGGGGAUUGCGUCUGAUGAGCUAGUUGGAGGGGUAACGGCCCACCAAGGCGAUGAUCAGUAGCCGGUCUGAGAGGAUGGACGGCCCCAUUGGGACUGAGACACGGCCCAGACUCCUACGGGAGGCAGCAGUGGUGAAUCUUCCGCAAUGGACGAAAGUCUGACGGAGCAACGCCGCGUGAGUGAUGACGGCCUUCGGGCUGUAAAGCUCUGUUAAUCGGGACGAAAGGCCUUCUUGCGAACAGUUAGAAGGAUUGACGGUACCGGAAUAGAAAGCCACGGCUAACUACGUG